CAAUAGCGUAUAUUAAAGUUGUUGCAGUUAAAAAGCUCGUAGUUGGAUUUCUGGCAGGAGGGACCGGUCACACACUCUGUGUGUGAACUUGCGUUGUCUCUGGCCAUCCUUGGGAAGAUCCUGUUUGGCAUUAAGUUGUCGGGCAGGGGAUACCCAUCGUUACUGUGAAAAAAUUAGAGUGUUUAAAGCAGGCUUAUGCCGUUGAAUAUAUUAGCAUGGAAUAAUAAGAUAGGACUUCGGAACUAUUUUGUUGGUUUGCGUUACGAAGUAAUGAUUAAUAGGGACAGUUGGGGGUAUUCGUAUUUCGUUGUCAGAGGUGAAAUUCUUGGAUUUCCGAAAGACGAACUACUGCGAAAGCAUUUACCAAGGAUGUUUUCAUUAA
rnacentral:rRNA from 1 species